rnacentral:sRNA from 1 species
UACUAGGUGAACUUUCGGAUGCGGU